UAGGGAAUCUUCGGCAAUGGACGAAAGUCUGACCGAGCAACGCCGCGUGAGUGAAGAAGGUUUUCGGAUCGUAAAACUCUGUUGUUAGAGAAGAACAAGGACGUUAGUAACUGAACGUCCCCUGACGGUAUCUAACCAGAAAGCCACGGCUAACUACGUGCCAGCAGCCGCGGUAAUACGUAGGUGGCAAGCGUUGUCCGGAUUUAUUGGGCGUAAAGCGAGCGCAGGCGGUUUCUUAAGUCUGAUGUGAAAGCCCCCGGCUCAACCGGGGAGGGUCAUUGGAAACUGGGAGACUUGAGUGCAGAAGAAGAGAGUGGAAUUCCAUGUGUAGCGGUGAAAUGCGUAGAUAUAUGGAGAAACACCAGUGGCGAAGGCGGCUCUCUGGUCUGUAACUGACGCUGAGGCUCGAAAGCGUGGGGAGCAAACAGGA
rnacentral:rRNA from 1 species